UUUUGUCACUAGGGGAGCUAGUAGCUGAGAGACUUAGGUCGACCCUUUGAACCUGAACUGGAUAAUGCCAGCGCGAGGAAAGUGGAUUAAAUUUAGA
rfam:Lactobacillus jensenii JV-V16 chromosome, whole genome shotgun sequence.